CCUACGGGUGGCAGCAGUGGGGAAUAUUGCACAAUGGGGGAAACCCUGAUGCAGCGACGCCGCGUGAGUGAAGAAGUAUUUCGGUAUGUAAAGCUCUAUCAGCAGGGAAGAAAUAAAGUCCUUCGGACUUUGGACGGUACCUGACUAAGAAGCCCCGGCUAACUACGUGCCAGCAGCCGCGGUAAUACGUCGGGGGCAAGCGUUAUCCGGAUUUACUGGGUGUAAAGGGAGCGUAGACGGCAGCGCAAGGCUGGAGUGAAAUACCAUGGCUUAACCCUGGAACUGCUUUGGAAACUGUGCAGCUGGAGUGCAGGAGAGGUAAGCGGAAUUCCUAGGGUAGCGGUGAAAUGCGUAGAUAUUAGGAGGAAAACCAGUGGCGAAGGCGGCUUACUGGACUGUAACUGACGUUGAGGCUCGAAAGCGUGGGGAGCAAACAGGAUUAGAUACCCGUGUAGUC
rnacentral:rRNA from 1 species